rnacentral:rRNA from 1 species
GUGCCAGCCGCCGCGGUAAUACGGAGGGUGCAAGCGUUAUCCGGAUUCACUGGGUUUAAAGGGAGCGCAGGCGGGCUGGUAAGUCAGUGGUGAAAGCCUUGAGCUUAACUCGAGAACUGCCAUUGAUACUAUCAGUCUUGAAUAUUGUUGAGGUUUGCGGAAUGGGUCAUGUAGCGGUGAAAUGCAUAGAUAUGACCCGGAACACCUAUUGCGAAGGCAGCAGGCUAAACAAAGAUUGACGCUGAGGCUCGAAAGCGUGGGGAUCAAACAGGAUUAGAAACCCGCGUAGUCC